UACGUAGGUGGCAAGCGUUGUCCGGAAUUAUUGGGCGUAAAGCGCGCGCAGGUGGUUUCUUAAGUCUGAUGUGAAAGCCCACGGCUCAACCGUGGAGGGUCAUUGGAAACUGGGGAACUUGAGUGCAGGAGAGAAGAGUGGAAUUCCACGUGUAGCGGUGAAAUGCGUAGAGAUGUGGAGGAACACAAGGGGCGAAGGCGACUCUUUGGCCUGUAACUGACCCUGAGGGGCGAAAGCGUGGGAGCAAACAGG
rnacentral:rRNA from 1 species